ACCAUUGGUGUCAUCCAUGGAUUAGUAUCUGGUUGGCAGUGAUACUGUGUCUUUUUUUUUUUUUCCAGGGCUGCAGCUUCUAACUCUGGAAUGAACCUGCAUUUCCAGCCUCAGCCGUUCAUCGGCUGAAAGAAGAAGGAUAAUUGAAUUUAUACACUUCUACCUCUCCACGCAUGAAGGCUUUCUAUUCCUCAGGGGUGCACGCUGAGGAGGAAUGCCUCAAAGUUUCUGUUAUUUUUUAUUAAACUUGAUUUCGUCUGGAGAAAAAACAAAAUCUAUCAGACACCCACAAUCCAGCCAAAGAGAGAGAGGAAGAAUGCUCAGGUGGGAAGGUAAGGCAGGUGUCAGCGGAAAUACACUCCGGUUCCCUUCUCACCAAAUGGAGUUUGAUUUUUGAUGUGAGAAGAUACGGAACAGAAUAGAGGCCUUGGAAAUAAAUCCAGACAUUUGCAGCCAGCUGAUUUUCAUCAAAGGCACUGAGAACUUCCUCUGGGGAAGAGACACCCUCGUCAGUAAGUGGUGCUGAGAAAACUGGAUGCCAGACACAAAGGAAUAGAACUAGACCCCUGCCUCCCAGCAUACACAAAAACUCAACCCCAAAUGGAUUAAAGGCUUAAAGGUCUAUUCACUACAGCCAAGAUACAGCAUCAACCAAAGUGCCCAUUAACAGGGGAAUAGGCAAAGAAAAUGUGGCCUGUACACACGGUGGAAUAUUAUGCAGCCAUAAACAAGAUUGACGUCUCAUCAUUUGCAGCAACCUGGGUGAACCUAGAGGACAUUGUGCUAAGAGGGAUAAGAGCGAGGCACAGAAAGGCAAAGUCGUACCUCCGAGAGGAUGUGCCUCAAUGGUCGAUCUGUCCAUUGAUGACGUUCUUCACACCAGCGUGAGAACCAAGUCCCCACUGGUGGACGUCGGGGUUUGUUUCUGCUCGGUGUGCCUCCCUCACCCCGUAAGGGAGAUUCGGACAGACAUCGAGGUAGCCCGGAGGCUACAGCCGGACGGUGAGGAGUGGGCAGGAGGGAAUGGCAGUCAGGGGAGACCCGGCUGCCACUGAGGUGAGUGAGCUGAUGCUCACGUCGGAAUGCCAAAUAGGUUCCCCAUCUCACUGCCGCUGGGCUCUUAGUGGUCCUCCAAAACUGCUGAGAAGUGAGGGACGGUUGCACCAGCCAGUUGUCAUGCAGAAUGACCUACCCCUGUCCCCAGCACCAUUCACAAUGUGCGUGACUCUCAGUAGGUAAAACGAGGCGCGGUGCUCAUUGCAGCAAACCGAGAGAAAUCACUAACAACUUAAAAAUCUUAAAAUUGGGGUUUACCCUGCGGGGAAUAAAACAUGCAUUUU